UAGGAUCCCUGUCGGCAACACCACAAAGAUCACCAACUGCCUGUUCCAAGUCAUACUCGUUCAUCCUCAAGAUUUCUUUGUUCAAGUCUACCUGUUUGAAACCCAUCUCCUCCAGUUCCUUGAGGAGGGUCGCCUCAACGUCACUGUUUAAAACCCUGCAAUCGCAUAAUGCAGUGUCAACAGCCAGAAGUUGGUCCUUGCUUUUAAGCAGGAUAUGUGGAAAAGGAAUGUACAGAUUUCAAUGUCUACUGCAUUUUCAAUGACCUCUACAUUAACCUACCAUCUCCUUCAGCUCUUCAAGGAUAGGAUCCCAGUCGGCAACACCGCAAAGAUCAUCAACUGCCUGUUCCAAGUCAUACUCGUACAUCCUCAAGAUUUCUUUGUUUAAGUCUACCUGUUUGAAACCCAUCUCCUCCAGUUCCUUGAGCAGGGUCGCCUCAAGGUCACUGUUUCCUCUAACAUCCUCUGAAGAUGCCUGCAUCUCAGUAACGGAGGGUGGUGUAGCAGAAGUAACAGCUUGUGCUUCCUCAGAUAAAUCAAUGGGAUUUGAAAUUGAUGAACCAGGUGCUGAAGGAGAGAAGCUCGACAUGUCACCAACAGUUAACAAGCUAUCAUUAAUGAUUGGCUUGGAUUCCUCCUGCUCCUUAUUUGGGCUUCCAGCAACCACUGGCUCAACCAACUCCAUGGUUGGGUCAGAUAAAUCAAUGGGAUUUGAAAUUGAUGAACCAGGUGCUGAAGGAGAGACGCUCGACUUGUCACCAACAACAGUUAACAAGCUAUCAUUAAUGCUUGGCUUGGAUUCCUCCUGCUCCUUAUUUGGGCUUCCAGCAACCACUGGCACAACCAACUCCAUUGUUGGGUUU
rnacentral:lncRNA from 1 species